rnacentral:rRNA from 1 species
AACGAACGCUGGCGGCAGGCUUAACACAUGCAAGUCGAACGCCCUGCAAGGGGAGUGGCAGACGGGUGAGUAACGCGUGGGAACAUACCCAUCACUACGGAAUAACUCAGGGAAACUUGUGCUAAUACCGUAUACGACCGAGAGGUGAAAGAUUUAUCGGUGAUGGAUUGGCCCGCGUUGGAUUAGCUAGUUGGUGGGGUAAAGGCCUACCAAGGCGACGAUCCAUAGCUGGUCUGAGAGGAUGAUCAGCCACAUUGGGACUGAGACACGGCCCAAACUCCUACGGGAGGCAGCAGUGGGGAAUAUUGGACAAUGGGCGCAAGCCUGAUCCAGCCAUGCCGCGUGAGUGAUGAAGGCCUUAGGGUUGUAAAGCUCUUUCACCGGAGAAGAUGAUGACGGUAUCCGGAGAAGAAGCCCCGGCUAACUUCGUGCCAGCCGCCGCAGUAAGAC